AUAAAGAACAAGGGAAUAAUGACAUCCUGAGAACUACAUAAGUGUCACUAGAUGGUGGCCACGAUGAAGCAGGAAAUAUGAUUUCAAAUUUUGUAGAUAUGUUUAAAAUUUCAACUUUAACACUGUUUGGCCUUUCAUGUCUAGGUUUCACAUACAUGAGCUAUCUAACAUGUUAGGUUAGACUUUUCCAACCAGUUUGAAGGUGUCUGAGCUGGCAUUUUAUCCUCAUCAUAGACAUCUUUCAUGGUGGGGUCUAAUCACAUUGUCAGCUAAAGAUUUCUGUGACUUUACUUACUGAGGAGGACAUUUUUUUUUUUUUUUUUGCACUAACAAUAUGUAAUGCUAAUUUUUUGCUAGUAUAUUGUUCUGUUAUGCAUUUCAUUUGGAUUACAGACUAAGACAGAAGCAAUCAAAGGAAAAUGGCAGGUAUUAUACUAUAGGUUUUGGGUGCCUGGAUUUACUGUAAUACUUGUGUAAAAGUUAGUCAUGCAAAGUUUGACCUUCCAAGGCUAUAGCAUGCUUGAGAAAUUCAUUUAACCCAAUAAAAAGUAGUAGUAGUAAUAUUACUGAUAAUAAUAAUAAUAAUAAUAAUAAUAAUAAUAAUAAUAAUAAUAAUAAUAAUAAUAAUAAAUGUAAAAACAAUAGUAGUAGUAGUAGUAGUAGUAAUAGUAGUAAUAAUAGUAAUAAUAGUAAUAAUAAUAAUAAUAAUAAUAAUAAUAAUAAUAAUAAUAAUAAUAAUAAUAACCCCCUGGAAAAGCAGUUUUCAUGUAAAAGUAGAGCAUCUGAACUAUGCCUCAAAAGUUUUAAAAAGAAAAAUUACUUUUACAAAAGUGUAUACAGCAUGAUGGACUCCCAAUUUUCAAACAUUUAUCUGGGAAGUUGUUGCCCCUCACACCUGCACAUUCAGGUGAUUAUCACAACUUGACAUGGCAAACUGCAUUUAGUUGUUGGAAGGUUCUUUCAUAGGAUUAACAUGGUGGUCUCCCAUUGUAACAAAAGGACUUGAAACAAUGGAUAUAGAUGCCCUUUGUGUAUUUGCUCAAAACCAAUAUUUCCUGUUCAGUGCUGAGAUUGUAAACCUCUGCUGUAAAUGUUCUGCUGAUGUAGGAUUUCAGAUGAGCUGCCAGCUGUAUGUUUCUCACCACUGGGUAUGUACACUGAACAAGUUUUUAUAUUUUAAUUUUAAGUUGAUAAAUUUUUUUCUUUCUUGUGAAUGUUCUAUUGAUUUCAUGUGUCCCAAAUUUUAUAGAAAAUUGUGGUAGUAUACAGGACCACCCAAAAAAAAAUCUAAUGUUCCCAGAUGGUAGCCUACCCCAGUGGUGUGGUAUACAACAAUACUGAGAAAAUCAGAUUUAUCGAACCACAAACUUACUGAACAUUUUUAUAUCCAACAUCUUUAUUUGAUACCUCUCGUAUUUUUUUUUAAACAAAACCAUUAUAUGAACUACUGUAAACAGUAUAUUUUAUUAUAUAACAACUUGGUGUUCCCCAUAAUUGAUGUGCCAAAUAUAUGUAGUAUACUGUAAUCCAGAUACUAAUGAAUCAGAACAUUUGAUCCAUACUAGGGCUUAUGAGGGUUGUGCAAAUUCCCACAACCUAUAUAUCACAAAACUCUAGUAUAUGUAGGUAGGUCUGUACUAAGUCUAGAGUUCUAAACAUUUUAAUAAUUUUAUCGACAACAUAUUUUCAACUAACUAAAAAUACAUCUUUUUAUAUCGUGUACAUACCUCAUCCUACAGCACACAUUGCUACAUGUUGAACAAUGCUAGUCUUUAGUAGCAGCAUGCACCUGUUCCUGCAUCAUUCAAAUUCCAUAUCCUAAAAAAUUGUCUACUAUUUCACAGUAUUUGUCUACAGCAUUAUACACCAUCACUAAAGUGGCCAUCACAAGAAACAAUGCUACUCCAACUGGCAACCAUAAGACUAAUAUUUCAAGUAGCAAAAUUCCCUUCUCGAAGUGAGGUUGAAAACAGUUGCAGAUGUCUUUUAACAUCUUAUUACAUAAAUCAUUCCUCAGUAUUGCAUUUCCACAUAUUUAAUUAAUUGGUCGCCAUCUUGCAGAAAAACAUUAUUAUAUAACAGCAUAUAUAGUGUGUAAACAACUAUUAGUUUUGUUGCAUAUGAAGCCCCUUACCAAGCAUGCAUGACAAAGAGAAGACAAACUGUUUUUGAAGUUUUCAAAUAUUUUCAUUGUUCUGUUAAUGUAAUUUCAUUUGACAUUGUGUCCAAGCAAAUUUGUUGUUGGCGAAAGGGGCAUUACCUCAUGUAAUAACACCUUAGCAGUAGUUAAAAUGGUGACCGUGCCCUAUAGGACUGAAUAAUCUUCAUGUACAUAUACUUAAUUUAUGGAAAAUGUUACUAUAACUGAAGUAAGACAAAACUUCUGUAGUAAGAAGUGAUUACAUCACAAUAAAUACAAGGCAAGACACUUUUAAAAUAAGACAUUACAAUUAACAUUUAGGCAGGAUAUUUUCAAAGUAAGUAAAAAAAUAAGCUCAUUCACACUAUAGUCAAAUUGCAUUCAAUAAUCUAUUAAAAGGGAAAUUGUAUAUUCUCUUUAACCCUUCAAGUGCUGGGAGUGUGUCUGAACCUGAAGUUUCAGACAUCCAGGGCUCACAGUUUUCUGUUUAAGAAGUGGGAAGGGAUAAAUCAGACUGUGCUGACAGGUCUAGUAACCAUCUUUGGAUGGGAAGUGCAAGGCAUUGGAUCCCGUCUAUGGAUGGGGAUGGAUUGUGCUCUGCCAUUCUGUUAACACUACUGCUUUAACCAUCUGUUGCAUUUACUCUUUUGAUUCGGUGAGUUCUGAUGCUGUUGAUCCUGCCUUGUCUCUCCAAGGCUCAUGCCGUGGAAAUGACAAUAUUUAUCAGAGUGGGAAAGUAGGACAGGAUUUGUAGUUUGCAAGGCAUUCACUAUCACAGUCAGACUGAGGGCCACUCCCAGUGACAUGGAGCCAAUUUCACAGUCCUUGGGUACUCUCCCUAACCAAAGGGCUUACCAACAUGGCAUUACCAACACCUUGAUCUGAUUUCACAGUUGUUUUUGUGGUCUCCGAGAUCCUCAAUCAGGUGACAGUGAGAACAAGAGAAAGGAUUCAGUACUGUUGGCAUGCCAAAGCAGCAGGAAAUACAAACAUUGCAUCAGCUGAGAAGAUGACUGUGAACAAUAAAUCUUGGAGGUAAAUGUGGAAAAAUAAAUGCAAAUAAUAAUAAAUAUGAAGAAUAAAUGUAAUGAUUAAUUGUAAGGAAUAGAUGUGAUGAAUAAAUGUAGAGUUUGUUUCACUGAAGUACACUGCUAAGUAGUAUCCCAAAUAUUUUUUAGUUUCUACACCCCUGAAAGUAUUACUUUGUCUGCAGAAUAAAGUAAUUUUUCCGAAGUGCAGAAGUCGAGAAAUAUUUUUGGUGUUAUUUAGCAGAUUUGAGCGGCGUUCUUCAGCGAGACUAACUCUCCACAUUUAUUCAUCGCAGUUAUCCUUUUCAUUUACUUGUCACACUUAUUUAGCAGACCACAUUUAUUAGUCAUUUAUUUUCACAUUUAGCAUUAAUUUCAUUUUUCACAUCCUUUACAUAUAAUAGGGCCGAUUACACAGUAUGUAUGCCCUAUGCAUACAUAUCUAGAGUAUUACAAGAGUUUGACCAAGGAGGCAUAACAGGUGAAAUAAUAGGAACAGGUAUGGAAGCUCUCAACGUCGGCUGGUGAAGCAAGUUCAUGUCGUCAUCCAAAUUCUUUAAAAAAAUUCAUAGUACCAUUAAAGCUCUGUAACAUGUUAUAUUGUUUAAUAAUUUUUAAUUUAUUUAAAGACAUAAUAUAACCAUAUGAGAGCAAGAAUUUGAGUUAUUUGCUAAUAAACUGCAUAGGUAAGCUCUGUUGUGGAAGUCUCCAGCUUCUAGAGGUGUAUUAUUAAAGGUUCCAUUCUCUGGUAUCAAUGCAGUCAACCAACACUGCUAAAGACGACUGUGAAAUCAGAUUUCAUGGUGGUGGUGGUGAUCACUGCUCAUUGGUGAUGACCACGACAAAAGGAAGUGACCGUGAAAUCAGUGUUUAGUAAGUGCUCAAACCAAACAACUCUCCAAGUUUGCUUGGUUUUCUACUAAACACAAAAGAUUACAGGAGCUUCUUAUAUUGUAUUUGGUGCUUAUAGAGAAGCUAACAAAAAUGGAUACUAUGCAAAACAUGUUUAGUCUUGGGUGCUCUUUAGAGAACCUAACACUUUGGGAGUUGUUUCGUUUGGACGCCUACAGUGUGUGGAAGUGGCCCUUAGGAGAGGAUGGGAACAGUGCAGAACUUCUUAUUCUAUUAGUAAAUAAUAUCUUACUUAAGGGUAGUGAAGCAAUUUAGUCUCAUAAGGUCAAUAAAGAGCACUUGGUAAAGAUUUUGCAUGAAUGUGUCUCAUGGGGUUGGCUAGAAUGCCAUACAGCAGCACUUCAAGGGUAAAGUUAUUGCUAUGUUCAAUUGUCCACUAAGAAGCAUAAAUAUUGCAUAUAUGACAAAAAUGAUUCCUAUGGUUUGUCCUAGAGACUCCGUUCAGUAUAGUAUGUGGAAUAAAUUUUAAUAUUUACAGUUAUGUUGUCAUUAGUGUGAAUACUUUCAUCUCGUCCAGUACUCUCAUUAUCCUACAUAAGAGGGGAAUAUAAAGAUGCCUCUGUAACAAAGAUUGAUCUUUGUCUUUCAGUGUCUUCUGUAGUGCAUUAAAAUCCUUUUAUAGAAAAAUAUGCAUAUAUUCCUUUUUACAUCCACUCAAUACUAGGCAAUUAUCUUCCACGGACUUCAUCACAACAACAACUUGCAAUACUUGUUCUCAAAUACAUGUUAAGUUUAAGAAAAUACUAGGAUGCAUGUACAGUAAUGUAAAAUAUGAAAGUAACUGGUCAUAAAUAAUUACUUAUAAAAUAGGUGUACUAACUAACUAACAGGGAGCAUACACCUGGGGGGUGUCACUUCACUCACUUGCCAUCCAUACACCAUAAGUAGGUGUACUGCCAAAGAUUAAAAUAUUCAGGAAUAAUGGGUUCUGUCUAGGGUUAUUAACCACUUAAUAGUAGGACUGUCCCUGUGGACAAAGCUGUAGCAAAAGACAGCUUAGGACAAUUCUGUUGAGAAAAUUUAAAUUCUUUUACCAACACCGCAUUACAGGGCACAACCAGUGGUGACUGAUAACAUCCAGCCCAUGCUGUUGCCAGGAGGGAAAACUCUUCUAGUGGCAAGAAAAUGCAACAGGCAAAGAAGGCUGAUGGUUUAGUGCAAGGUUCAGCUACAAGCUUAACAAAACUCAACUGCUCCAACAUGUAUCCAAGUCAAUGCAGUUCAAGAGGACAAGGAACUUGAGGAACCGGUGGAGAGUGCCGAAUCUGUGGAUACUGAGCGGCCGAGACGUGCGUGUCCUUUGGUGCGUGCUGCAGCAGGGAUCUCAUCAUCGUUACGUAUGAGACUGUGUCUGUAUGUGUGAGAUUAUACACAUUCCACUCUGAGCAAUAUUACCUUCUGGAGAGCAGCACAAGAGACUGUCUGUGUGUUGAGUUGCGGCGUGUUCUGCCUUGGAGAGUCUGGAUGGAAGUGAAGUGAUUCUGGACAGCCGUGGACAUCAUGGGACAUUGC